CAAAAAAAAAUAUUACUGAAAAAAAUGCUGCACAAGACACAUGUCAUUGCUGGCUCACUAAUGUUCCUGCAGAGCAUUUUUCACUAGCUCUGUGUGAUAUCUUGAGAACACAAACCAAAAGCUCUGUAGGAAGUCAGGCCUGGGUGCUUUCCAGUUACUAAUGGCUUUGAUUGCUUUACAACCUUCCAUUCAGACACUGCAGUGUGACAUUUUCACUUUCCCUCAUAAAAGCUCUCUCCUCCUGUAAUCAUAUUGCUUCUGUGUGAUUAGCAUCCAAACCAUCAUUAUUCUUUAGGCCAAGUCAGAUUGAAUCUGCAACUUAACAUGCAUAAAGGUUUGGAAUAGCAAACGAACAUCUUAAAGAAAUGCUUUAGUGGAAUAAAUUAGGAUGAAACUUUCAGUGCUGAUUUAGAUUCCAGAUUAUGAACUCAGAGGAAGAUGGUUUCCCUGCUGGAUCCUGAGGGCUAGCCUACUGUAGACCUGUCCACAAAGGUCACAUGGAAUCUGUCUGGCAGACAUUCUACUUGCCUUGCUGUGCUCUAUCUCAGUUGAUUUCUUUUUUUUUUUUUUUAUUUUUACUUUUAUUUUUUAUUAGAUAUUUUCUUUUUUUAAUAUUUUUAUUACAUAUUUUCCUCAAUUACAUUUCCAAUGCUAUCCCAAAAGUCCCCCAUACCCUCACCCCUAUUUCCCUACACACCCAUUCCCAUUUUUUUGGCCCUGGCGUUCCCCUGUACUGGGGCAUAUAAAGUUUGCAUGUCUAAUGGGCCUCUCUUUCCAGUGAUGGCCGACUAGGCCAUCUUUUGAUACAUAUGCAGCUAGAGUCAAGAGCUCCGGGGUACUGGUUAGUUCAUAAUGUUGUUCCACCGAUAGGGUUGCAGAUCUCUUUAGCUCCUUGGAUACUUUCUCUAGCUCCUCCAUUGGGGGUCCUGUGAUCCAUCCAAUAGCUGACUGUGAGCAUCCACUUCUGUGUUUGCUAGGCCCCGGCAUAGUCUCACAAGAGACAGCUACAUCUGGGUCCUUUCUAUAAAAUCUUGCUAGUGUAUGCAAUGGUGUCAGCGUUUGGAAGCUGAUUAUGGGGUGGAUCCCUGGAUAUGGCAGUCUCUAGAUGGUCCAUCCUUUUGUCUCAGCUCCAAACUUUGUCUCUGUAACUCCUUCCAUGGGUAUUUUGUUCCCAAUUCUAAGGAGGGGCAUAGUGUCCACACUUCAGUCUUCAUUCUUCUUGAGUUUCAUGUGUUUAGCAAAUUGUAUCUUAUAUCUUGGGUAUCCUAGGUUUUGGGCUAAUAUCCACUUAUCAGUGAGUACAUAUUGUGUGAGUUAGAAUCAACAGUCCUGGAUAACUUAGGAAAGUGAGGAUUUUUGACUUAACAAAACACUGUUUUUUACUUAAAACAGUGUGUCAAAAGAAAAUUCCAAUUUCUUUUUGGGAAGACAGUGGCCUCAGGGAAAAGGAAAGAUAGGAAUAAUGAGCUGGUGUGAAGCAAAAUAAGUUAUGAGACUAGAUAUUUUUAUAAUGAUAAAAUGGAUAUUAAGAAGUUCAGCUUUAUUCCAUGUGAAAAUGGAAAGGAAUCUUUUUUUCAACAUGGAUAUUUGAAACUUGAUACUGAAUGAUCUCAAAAACUCGAACUUGGUUCCAUUUAUUUUAAGAAUUAUCUCCUUGGCCAUGACUAUCAAAAGUUGGCAUGACAGCUUGAACGUCAAAUACUAUUAAUACUAUAAAUAGAAAACAAUUGCUAGCUAAGUAUCUCACUUUCUGACUGCUUUCUUUUUAUUGAUUUGUAAAGUGUAUCAUUCUUUGAGCUGGAUUGCACUAAAUCUGAAGUGUCUAAAUCCAAGUAGUCAUUCUUCCCAGAGGAGGCAAAUCAAGGAAGGUUUUGUGGUCUUUCAGGAGAAAAAUCCCAAGAAAACAACAACAAAAAAGCAAAACACCUUGUUGAAAAUUUCAUCUAAUGACAUAUAAAAGGCCAAUUCAGCUUUAAGAUUCUGUGCCUUUCUUUUCAGUGGAUUAUAUCGAAAGCACAAGAGCUCUCAGUCUUUCGGCAGUGAGGCAGGGUGAUGAAGUAGGAUUACCAAAUCAAUAAAUGUAACAUUAAGCUUAUUGAAUGUAGUACAUUUUUUGAUGCCUCUGUAUUUCAGGCUUCUUUGUUUUGGUCACCUUUCUUUCUUUCUUUCUUUCUUUCUUUCUUUCUUUCUUUCUUUCUUUCUUUCCUCUUUUGUGACUCAGGGUCUCGCUAUGUCAUAGUGACAUAUAGACUAGGCUAGCCUUAAACUCACAAAAAUCUACCUGCCACUGUUGCCCAAGUGCUGGGAUUAAGGCCUGUGUCACCAGGUCUGGCAUUUGCUCACAUUUCUUAACUGUGAUCCUUUUUUUAGAUCUAUUAGCAGAACACUUUUUUAAAAAAUUAGUCUUCAACAACCUUUCCUCCACUCCUCCAUCCUGUCUAUUUUGAAGAGUCUCUGUCUUCAUCCCAAGUCCUAUUUUACCUUGGAAGUCCAUAUCUAAUAUAUUCUUGCCACUCUUGUAUGCCACACACACCAGGGUAGUUCACAGGCUGUCUAUCUCCCCUUUCUGAUUCUGCUAUUUCAACCUCUGACACUGUGCUGAGCUUUUAAAAACUUCCAAGCCACUAAUCUAGUCAAAUUCCUGCAGGAUACAGAUGAGGAAGCAGCCCCCUCACCCCCAAAAAGGAGGGAAGUUUUGGAGGAAGUCAUGUAACAAAUUAGAGGCUGGGAGCACCAUUUCUAUGGUUCUAGUAAUCCAUUUCUCCAUGCCACCUGUC
rnacentral:lncRNA from 1 species